UUAAUGCAAAUGGAGACCAGAUUGCAGAAAGUCAGCAAUCAUCCCGCCAAUCUUGGACAACAAAUCUUGUUCACAAGAUGGGACUGAAGAAGCUGAAAUGAAACCCUUUGGUGAUGUCAGCAAUGGGUUAAAGGGAAUUGUCAUGAGAAAAGCUGCCCCAUUGUGACACCUUCAUUAUCUGGCUAUUCCUGAUGAAGCUUUUGGGAUGGCCUGAUUUAUUCAGCACAGACACAUUCAAGUUUCCAGUGUGGUUCUGUUUACUGCAUCAAGCUGAUGGAUGGGGAAAAGUCAAGACUUACAAAAAAUGGAAAUUUCACAUGUCAGACCUGCAACACCUAUGAAACAGAAGGAAACGUCUGUUUGGAAGCUGAGCAGAGGUGUGGCAGUUCAAGACACAGGAGAUGAAAUUCUGAGGGCCUGGUGGAGAAGGAAUGAGAGCAGGGAACUGAAUCCAAGGUGCGUUUGAUCUGUUGGUUUAUGGAGUGCUUCACUACUGGCUUGGAGGUGAACAGAACAUUAAUUUGGUAAUUAUUGAGGAAUGACAUUGAAA